UCAAAAUUUUUUGAGUUUAGUUUCAUAAAGGAUACCUCAGGUAACCCUUGAGCUAAUACUUGACUCGCCCUCCGGGGCAUGCCUCUUGUAUUCUAGACCUAAGAGUUCCGGAGGAACUAUUCGGGGGAGAUCUGACGAGAGUGCUAACUCCGAUGGCUAAUGCACGGAGUGAUAUCUUGAAGUGUCUGACCUAUCAAUUGGGGACGGUAGUGUAUGGGACUACCAUGGUCCUGACGGGUGACGGGGAAUCAGGGUUUUAUUCCGGAGAGGCAGCCUUAAAAACGGCUACUACACCCAAGGGAGGCAGCAGGCGCGCAAAUUACCCAAUACUAGUUCUGUGAGGUAGUGACGAGAAAUAACAAUACAUCGCUUUUGCGUUGUAAUUGGAAUGACAGUGAAGUAAAUUUUCUGCGGAGGAACAAGUGGAGGGCAAGUCUGGUGCCAGCAGCCGCGGUAAUACCAGCCUCCACAAGCAUAUGCAAAAGUUGCUGCGUUUAGAAAGCUCGUAGUUGGUGCUGUCACGGUGUAUCCGAAAUCUGCUCAGUUGUAGCGGUGGAACACUGUUUCUGCGGUGCUUUAAAGUUUUGCACUUAAUUGUGUGAGAGUUUGAAGCCGGUUUUACCUAGAAUAAAACAGCGUGUUCAAAGCAGCCUUUGGGUAUGAAUAACGGAGCAUGGAAUAAAAGAGGAGGAUCGUUCGUCUUCUUUGGUUAUGAUUAACGAUAAUGGUCUACAAGAUUGAAUGGGGGUAUCCGUAUUGUUGCGUCAGAGGUGAAAUUCUUGGAUCGCAGCAAGACGUCCUACUGCGAAAGCAUUUACCAAAAGUGUUUUUACUUAUCAAGAACGAAAGUUGGAGUAUUGAAGAGGAUUAGAUACCCUCGUAAUUCUAACCAUAAACUAUUCAAACUCGGUUUGUGCAUGAUCAAAAGUGUUCUAGCAUGAAUCAUGAAGGAAACUAAAGUUUUUCUGUUACGGGGGUAGUAUGGUUGCAAAAUCGAAACUUAAAGGAAUUGACGGAAGGGCACCACCAGGAGUGGAGCCUGCGGCUUAAUUCGACUCAACACGGGGAAACUCACUAGGUCCAGACAUGGUAAUGAUUGACAGACUAGAUAUUCAUCAUGAUACCUUGGGUGGUGGUGCAUGGCCGUUCUUAGUUAGUGGAGUGCUCUGUCUGGUUGAUUCCGAUAACGAACGAGACCUUUUUCAAUUGAGUAACGUCGAUGCGGGCUGCGUCUGAUGUUUCUAAGAGAGACCAUGUGGAUAAAGUACCGCUUGGAAGUUGGGCUAUAACAGGUCUGUGAUGCCCUUAGAUGUCCUGGGCUGCACGCGCGCUACACUGAGUGUUACAACGUGAAUGUUUUGUCCGACAGGGUCUGGGAAAUCAUUGAAUUAUUUCACGUGCUGGGAAUCGAUUUCUGGAAUUUCGAAUCGUGAACGAGGAAUUCCUAGUAAGUAUCGGUAAGUAUCCGGUGCUGAUUACGUCCCUGCCCUUUGUACACACCGCCCGUCGCUACUACUGAUUGGGUGUAUGAGCGAGGUUUGCGGACGCAUAGGAUGGUUUAUUCUGUCUAGCGGUGAAAGCAAAUCAAGUUCAUGCGUUUAGAGGAAGUAAAAGUCGUAACAAGGUUUCCGU
rnacentral:rRNA from 1 species